AUAAAAUAAAUUAAUCAUAAAAUACUAAAAAUAAAUAAUGCAAUAGAUGAGAUCAGAUACGCACGCGGGGGGGGCCUUUGCUUUUCUUUUUUUGUCUUUUUGUCAUAGGCUUCGAAAGUUCCAGAUCAAGGAGGUCGGUGAGAGCUUUGAACCAUACUCGUGUCUUCUCUAGUCUGUCUCCCCUGCCGUCCUUUUCAUCUGUCACCGGUGACCUUGAGCGUGCUGCAGCCUUCCUUUUCCUCUUCCUCUGUUUUGAGUCGCUGAUCGUGCAACAGUGAGUUGUUGUCCCAUUCGUCUGUACGAUGUUCAUUUGCGCCGCCUGCCGUUCUUCUUCCUCUGUUAAUAUUGUGCUAUGGGUUUUUAAAUUUCGGACUAUGGAAGUGGUUCGUUCCUGCAAGAGACUGAUUUCUGGUCUUCUCUUUCCCCUGUUCAGCAGCAAACUCCUCCUCUCCCUUCAUCGUUGUUGUUGCCGUGGCUGGAAUAAACCUUGUGGGGAAUGCUAAAUGGGUAAAUUUCAAUGGUUGGAUUGCCUCAGAUACCUUAGCUGACGUUGAUCUUCCUGCCGAUCCUUGAGCACUUAUAGACAGGUGGAGGGUUGAUUGAAAUUUUUCUUUUGAUGUAAUUAUAAAUGUUUAUAUAUCUUAUUUUUAUUUUAUUUUUGAAAAGUACGAUUAGGUGCUCCACAUAAGCUAUAACUAGGACUUUUAUUUUAUACAUACUGUCUGUCGGCUAGAAGGAGCUAAGCUCUUGAUUUAAUUGAUAUUUUGACUGUAUCAAUAUAUUGUAGAAAUUUUGAGAAAUUCUA